UGGGGAAUAUUGCACAAUGGGCGAAAGCCUGAUGCAGCGACGCCGCGUGAGGGAUGACGGCCUUCGGGUUGUAAACCUCUUUCAGCAGGGAAGAAGCGAAAGUGACGGUACCUGCAGAAGAAGCGCCGGCUAACUACGUGCCAGCAGCCGCGGUAAUACGUAGGGCGCAAGCGUUGUCCGGAAUUAUUGGGCGUAAAGAGCUCGUAGGCGGUUAGUCGCGUCUGCUGUGAAAACUCGAGGCUCAACCUCGGGCUUGCAGUGGGUACGGGCUGACUAGAGUGCAGUAGGGGUGACUGGAAUUCCUGGUGUAGCGGUGGAAUGCGCAGAUAUCAGGAGGAACACCGAUGGCGAAGGCAGGUCACUGGGCCGCAACUGACGCUGAGGAGCGAAAGCAUGGGGAGCGAACAGGAUUAGAUACCCUGGUAGUCCAUGCCGUAAACGUUGGGCACUAGGUGUGGGGUCCAUUCCACGGAUUCCGUGCCGCAGCAAACGCAUUAAGUGCCCCGCCUGGGGAGUACGGCCGCAAGGCUAAAACUCAAAGGAAUUGACGGGGGUCAUAGCUGUUUCCU
rnacentral:rRNA from 1 species